rnacentral:rRNA from 1 species
UGGGGAAUUUUGCACAAUGGGGGAAACCCUGUUGCAGCGACGCCGCGUGAUUUAGAAGGCCUUCGGGUUGUAAAAAUCUUUUUUACGGGAUGAAAAUGACAGUACCGUAAGAAUAAGGUCCGGCUAAAUACGUGCCAGCAGCCGCGGUAAUACGUAUGGACCGAGCGUUGUCCGGAAUCAUUGGGCGUAAAGGGUACGUAGGCGGCCUAGUAAGUUAGAAGUGAAAUAAUAUAGCUCAACUAUAUAAAGCUUUUAAAACUGCUAGGCCUGAGAGAUGGAAGGGAAAGUGGAAUUCCUAGUGUAGCGGUGAAAUGCGCAGAUAUUAGGAAGAAUACCGGUGGCGAAGGCGACUUUCUGGUCAUCAUCUGACGCUGAGGUACGAAAGCGUGGGUAGCAAACAGG